AGAAAACGAAUCAAGCAGCCAAACCUCCCCCGGAGUCAACUAUAUUUAAAGGCAAUUUAUAAAAUACACUUUGUUGACGAAUAUGUGAUACGCUAAUUUAUUAUCUUGACAAUGUGCUGCUACCGGUGGCUGUUUGCUUGCUCUGGACCUAUCGCGCCACGAGAACGCACGACUAUAUACCUGAUUAUCGUGUUCAUCAUUGUGUAAGAUCUCUUAGACCUAGUAACCAGUCUGUCUCCUGUAUGAUCAGAGACACACCGUGAGACUGGUUUUCACAAGACCACAAUGAACUGCCUUCUGCACAUCAAGGAGACCCUGCUACACUAUAGAUGGCAGGAAGCUGCUGAGUACAUGUCCAGUUACUCACGAACACUGGAGGACAUGCCACAACUCUACGCUGAGGACAAGCACAGAUACACCACCGUCCCAUCUUGAAGCUGGAAGACCACAACAGUUUCUAUGCGCUACUAGAGAUCUAUGCGGGAGUGAAACACUCAGGAGUGAAACAUUACCUGAAGCUUCACCUGGAAUGCUUUUCCA
ensembl:lncRNA